CCUACGGGGUGCAGCAGUGAGGAAUAUUGGUCAAUGGACGAGAGUCUGAACCAGCCAAGUAGCGUGAAGGAUGAAUGCCCUAUGGGUUGUAAGCUUCUUUUAUAUGGGAAUAAAAUGUUCCACGUGUGGGAUUUUGUAUGUACCAUAUGAAUAAGGAUCGGCUAACUCCGUGCCCGCAGCCGCGGUAAUACGGAGGAUCCGCGCGUUAUCCGGAUUUAUUGGGUUUAAAGGGAGCGUAGGUGGAUUGUUAAGUCAGUUGUGAAAGUUUGCGGCUCAACCGUAAAAUUGCCGUUGAAACUGGCAGUCUUGAGUACAGUAGAGGUGAGCGGAAGUCGUGGUGUAGCGGUGAAAUGCGUAGAUAUCACGAAGAACUCCGAUGGCGAAGGCAGCUCACUGGACUGCAACUGACACUGAGGCUCGAAAGUGUGGGUAGCAAACAGGAUUAGAUACCCUUGUAGUC
rnacentral:rRNA from 1 species